rnacentral:lncRNA from 1 species
CCUUGCUGCACCCUUGAGAGCUUAAGGGGAGUCUGAUCCUUCAGGGGUCAGACUGACUUUGAUCUCCUGAUAGGCUCCACCAAACCUCAUUUACAGGGAAGCUGGAAGCUGCCCCCAGAGCACAGGCUUGGGCUGAGCUCCCCGUGUGGACCAGGGCCAGGCUAGUUAAAUUUUAUAACUGAAGUGUGGCAAUUCAAGGGCUGACCUGUGCUUUACAGCCUCCUCUCUCUCCUUGCCUUUCAGUAACAUUCAGCCUGCAACUCACAACUGGGCCUGGGUGAGAGGAAACCGCUUCUCUCCUCUCCAUCCCCGCCCCAGCACACCUGCCCAGAAACCUCUCUGUUAAGGAGAUAGAAGAGUACUCAAUAGCUAUGGCCUCAGAACAAGCACUAAGCUCACUCUCCGAAGGCUGGGCUAGGGUGGCCCCUCUGGAGUGGGUGGGGUUGAGAAAGGGGACAGGAGAGUUCUAAAGCUACCCUGGAGUAGCUAGGAAAGGCUGUAGCGUGGAAAGGGAGUGUCAGGCUCAGGGAAAGGGAGCUGGAGUCUCAGAGGAUUUUCGGUGGCAGUGCUACAGUUGUCCUUGGGCAUGCUGUGUGAUCCCACCUGGCUUCUAGCUGAGGUGGCAGUGCCAGAAAGGGGUUGCAGGUCAUGGUUGGCUCUUUUUUCCUUAUCUAGGGCCCACUGAACAGCGCGAUACCCAGCCCAAGACUUCACCUGAAGUAAGAAUCCCGAGGGGUCCCAAAAGGGACCUAUUUUUUUUUUUUUUUUUUUUUUGAGACAGGGUCUCACUAUGUAGUUGAGACUGACCUGGAACUCACUAUGUAGCCCAGGCUGGUCUCGAACUCACAGCGAUCUUCCUGCCUCAGCCUCCAGAGUGCUGGGAUUACAGGUGUGCGCCCCCACGCUCAGCCAAAAGGGACCUAUUCUAACUUCCUGAACUGCUUCCUUUGAAGACAACCCUCACCAGUCAUCGCAGCAAUCCCAGCUGUCAUCACAAGGCUGCAGUCUCUGUACUGUGGUAGGGGACCCAAAGUUGGGGCUAGCAGGCAGAACUCUGGCUUCUAAGCAACAACCUCCCCUCCCCUUCCAGGCCAGUGCUCAGGGCCCCGCAGAGGAAGAUAGGCAAAGAUGGAACGCCUCUCUUCCCAGGACUAGCCCAAUUCUUCACUCUCACCAGAGGCUUUUGUGUGCAAAGUUACAAGUCUCAUCUUCCUGCGCCUCCCCAUCACCCCCGGAAGACACCCCGGGGCCGCUCCGAACGCCCAGCCAGGCCGCCGAGGAACCUCGACCCGCACUACCAGGCGCGGCGGCGGCAGGCACGAAGUUCAAUCAAGUUGGGCCAUUGUCUCUGCGUGUCCUUCCCUCUGCCCUGCACGCGCCGCCACGCACCCGACCCAGCCCCAAGCGCCCGAGAGGCUCGGCGUGG